rnacentral:rRNA from 1 species
GACGAACGCUGGCGGCGUGCUUAACACAUGCAAGUCGAACGGAAAGGCCCUGCUUUUGUGGGGUGCUCGAGUGGCGAACGGGUGAGUAACACGUGAGUAACCUGCCCUUGACUUUGGGAUAACUUCAGGAAACUGGGGCUAAUACCGGAUAGGAGCUCCUGCUGCAUGGUGGGGGUUGGAAAGUUUCGGCGGUUGGGGAUGGACUCGCGUCUUAUCAGCUUGUUGGUGGGGUAGUGGCUUACCAAGGCUUUGACGGGUAGCCGGCCUGAGAGGGUGACCGGCCACAUUGGGACUGAGAUACGGCCCAGACUCCUCCGGGAGGCAGCAGUGGGGAAUAUUGCACAAUGGGCGGAAGCCUGAUGCAGCAACGCCGCGUGCGGGAUGACGGCCAUCGGGUUGUAAACCGCUUUCGCCUGUGACGAAGCGUGAGUGACGGUAAUGGGUAAAGAAGCACCGGCUAACUACGUG